AGAGUUUGAUCAUGGCUCAGAAUCAACGCUGGCGGCGUGCCUCAGACAUGCAAGUCGAACGCGAAAUCCCUUCGGGGAAUAAGUAGAGUGGCGCACGGGUGAGUAACACGUAGGUAAUCUACCUUCGGGUGGGGAAUAACCCAGGGAAACUUGGGCUAACACCGCAUGAUGCAGCGGCACCACAUGGUGACAGUUGUUAAAGCGGGGGAUUUUCGGACCUCGCGCCUGAAGAGGAGCCUGCGGCGGAUUAGCUAGUUGGUGAGGUAACGGCUCACCAAGGUGACGAUCCGUAGCCGGCCUGAGAGGGCGGUCGGCCACACUGACGCUGACAUACGGGUCAGACUCCUACGGGAGGCAGCAGUCGGGAAUUUUGGGCAAUGGGCGAAAGCCUGACCCAGCAACGCCGCGUGAAGGAUGAAAUCCCUCGGGAUGUAAACUUCGCAAGAAUGGGAAGAAUUAGCGAGCGCUAAUACCGCUCGUGAUGACGGUACCAUUUGUAAGCUCCGGCUAACUCCGUGCCAGCAGCCGCGGUAAUACGGGGGGAGCAAGCGUUGUUCGGAUUUACUGGGCGUAAAGGGCGCGUAGGCGGCCAGCGCAAGUCAGUUGUGAAAUCUCCGGGCUUAACUCGGAAAGGUCAACUGAUACUGCGCGGCUAGAGUGCGGAAGGGGCAACUGGAAUUCUCGGUGUAGCGGUGAAAUGCGUAGAUAUCGAGAGGAACACCUGCGGCGAAGGCGGGUUGCUGGGCCGACACUGACGCUGAGGCGCGAAAGCCAGGGGAGCGAACGGGAUUAGAUACCCCAGUAGUCC
rnacentral:rRNA from 1 species